GAUGAACGCUGGCGGCGUGCCUAAUACAUGCAAGUCGAGCGAACAGACGAGGAGCUUGCUCCUCUGACGUUAGCGGCGGACGGGUGAGUAACACGUGGAUAACCUACCUAUAAGACUGGGAUAACUUCGGGAAACCGGAGCUAAUACCGGAUAACAUGUUGAACCGCAUGGUUCAACAGUGAAAGACGGUCUUGCUGUCACUUAUAGAUGGAUCCGCGCCGCAUUAGCUAGUUGGUAAGGUAACGGCUUACCAAGGCAACGAUGCGUAGCCGACCUGAGAGGGUGAUCGGCCAAACGGGAACUGAGACACGGUCCAGACUCCUACGGGAGGCAGCAGUAGGGAAUCUUCCGCAAUGGGCGAAAGCCUGACGGAGCAACGCCGCGUGAGUGAAGAAGGUCUUCGGAUCGUAAAACUCUGUUAUUAGGGAAGAACAAAUGUGUAAGUAACUAUGCACGUCUUGACGGUACCUAAUCAGAAAGCCACGGCUAACUACGUG
rnacentral:rRNA from 1 species